ensembl:misc_RNA 7SK 7SK RNA
GGAUGUGAGAGUGAUCUGGCUGCGACAUCUGUCACCCCAUUGAUCGCCAGGGUUGAUUCAGCUGAUCUGGCUGGCUAGGCGUGUGUCCCCUUCCUCCCUCACUGCUCCAUGUGCAUCCCUCCUGAAGCUGCAUGCUCGGUCGAAAAGGAUGGCCUUCCCCUGAUAGAGACGGACCAGUCUUCGGUUGAGGGUAUACGAGUAGCUGCGCUCCCCUGCUAGAACCUCCAAACAAGCUCUCAACGUCCAUUUGAUAGUGUGAUUACAGACUCAAAAGUAUGACUGUUGGCUUUAUUGUUCUUCCGU